CUUAAAACCCAAAGGACUUGACGGUGCCCCACCCACCUAGAGGAGCCUGUUCUAUAAUCGAUUCUCCCCGAUAUACCUCACCACUUCUAGCCUACUCAGCCUGUAUACCUCCGUCGUAAGCUUACCAUAUGAACGUUGAAUUAGUGAGCAAAAAGAUUAAUCAUCAAUACGUCAGGUCAAGGUGCAGCUCACGAAGCGGGAAGCAAUGGGCUACAGUUUCUAACUUAGAACAAACGAAAGACUACAUGAAACAUAGUCACGAAGGCGGAUUUAGUAGUAAAAAGAAAAUAGAGAGUUCUUUUUAAUUAGGCGCUGGGACGCGU
rnacentral:rRNA from 1 species